rnacentral:rRNA from 1 species
GAUGAACGCUGGCGGCGUGCUUAACACAUGCAAGUCGAACGGAAAGGCCAUGCUUUUGUGGGGUGCUCGAGUGCCGAACGGGUGAGUAACACGUGAGUAAACUGCCCUUGUCUGUCGGGUAUAUUCAGGAAAAUCGGGCUAAUAUCGCGUAGGAGAUUCUGCUGCAUGGUGUGGUAUGGAAAGUUUGGGCGGUUCGGGAUCGACUGGCUGCUUAUCAGCUUGUUUGUGGGGUAGUGGCUUACAAAGUUUUUGACGGGUAGCCUACCUGGGAGGGUGACCGGGGACAUUGGGACUGAGAGAGGGACCAGAAUCCUAUGGGAGGCAGUAGGGGGGAAUAUGGCACAAUGGGCGGAAGCCAGAUGCAGCAACGCCGCGUGCGGGAUGACGGCCUUUGGGUUAUAAACCGCUUUGGACGGUGCUGAAGAGUGAGUGACGGUAAUGGGUAAAGAAGCAACGGCUAACUACGUG